rnacentral:lncRNA from 1 species
UGGGGCAAGGCUGGAGCAUCACUUCCUCCAUCGCCAACGCCGAUGGCUGAAAAUCCCUGACCCCAGAAAUGACCCCCCCCCCACAUGGGGAUGAUUUUUUUGGCCAUUAAUCAUCCCUAUUUCAGUGCCAACACCUUUGAGCUGACAGGAAGCCGUUGGUGGGGCAGAAAGGGGAAGGAAGCCAUUGCGAGAGGGGGAGCGGGCGCGGGGGGCCUCGGUGGGGCAGAGGAGGAUGGAGAGGAGAGGUGUCGGGACGGGCUGGCUCUGCGUCGCCGUGCUCUGCUCUGGGGCUGCUCUCGUCCUCAAAGAAGGGCAUCAAAGCAUCACGGAGGGUGAUGAAGUCCAGGAGCCAACGGGAGACCCCACCGCGAGCACCGGGGAUGUGGAGAAGCUGACAACGUGGCCAACGGCCACCCCAACCCCUCCUUGGACUGGGGACCCUGUCACCACCCCCGAGCCCACACGGGCAGGUGCCACGGGGAACAAAACCCGUGAGUCCCAACGGAGAAAGGAGCUGUUGGAGCAGGUCCAGAGGAAGCCCUGGAGAUGCUGGGAGGGCUGGAGCCCCUCUACUGGGAGGGGGGGCUGAGAGAGUUGGGGGGGUUCAGCCUGGAGAAGAGAAGGCUCCGGGGAGACCUUGGAGCCCCUUCCAGUCCCUCAAGGGGCUCCAGGAAAGCUGGGGGGGACUCUUGAUGAGGGAGGGGACGGAUGAGCUGAAAGAGGGGAGAUGGAGCUGAGAUGUGGGGCAGAAGUUCUUUGGUGUGAGGGUGGUGAGAGCCUGGCCCAGGUUGCCCCGAGAAGCUGUGGCUGCCCCAUCCCUGGAGGGGUUCAAGGUCAGGUUGGAGGGGGCUUGGAGCAACCUGGGCUGGUGGGAGGCAUCCCAGGGCUGGGCGGUGAGGAACAGGAUGGUCUUUAAGGUCCUUUCCCACUCAAACCAUUCUACAAUUCUCGGAGAUGUGUUUUGGGUAGAUGCCACCACCCUGGAGGCUCCUGCAUCCCCCCAGAGCCCCCUGAAC